CAUGCCUUCACCCUCAUCUCGGUGUUACUGUGGGACAGGUUCCUACAAGGAGAAGUUCUGAGUCACAGGUUAUGUGCGUGUUUAAAUGAGACAUACACAG